UACACUCCCGCUUCCUAAUCGUCACUGAACCAUGUGAACCAGUAUUACCCUGAACAAUUUCAGACAGUCAGAUGAUGGGUGAGGGUGAGUGAGAGAAAGAUGACUGAUGGGAAAAGACAACAAAGCGACGAGCAGAGAGGACAGGCCCAGUCAGUGUGUUUUUGUGUCCUACAGCCUCGGGCCACGAGACUAGACUGUAACAAUAACAACGCUGACAUCUCACUAGCACCACUGUUCUUCCUUACACACGCGCAUACACACGGUCACACCAAAUAAGCCAUGAAAUGGACGGGUUCACCAGACUCAUCACGGCCUGGGUCAGCUGUGUGUUCUGAGGGCCUUGAGAUGAAAGCUUUCUUUCUACACAAUUACUCCAUGUGCAGGAAACAUGAAUAUAUAACAGACCCAUAGACCAGAAGGUUCUUCUCCACCCUGAAGCACUCGGACCGGGGGUAGCCAUGGGCCUUGUCUUGGGGUCGUCGUGGUUUGGUUGAGGGU